AAAAUAAAUCUAGUAUUGUGAAAUCAGAGGUGAAAGUAUUUGAACGUGUAAAAAAAUGGCAUUCAAGAAAGAGCAAGGAUAGGAAUGCACAAUACUUUGUUUCAUUUUACUAUAUCUUUGGAUUACAUAGUUAAUUCAGAUUGUGUAUCUCCCUUCUCUCUUAAUGCCAGUGGGAACAAGCUGCCCCUAAAAAUAUUUUAAAGCAAUCAGUGGAGGUACCUAUUGAGACGUGUUUGAAAAGUGUCUCAACAGAGGUACUACUGUAUGUACCAGGCACAGUGAGAAGACAGCCAUCUGAAGAAACUAGCUGUGCUGGCUGGCACCCUGAACUCACAAUCCCAGCAUCCAGAACUGUGAGAAAUACAUUUCUGUUCUUUAUGAGAGUGGGCACAUUCCUGGUGUGAUAGCUGUAGAUCAUUAUUCUCAUUUCAUGUGAGGGCUUAAUUCAUUGAAUGCUCAGAGUUUCCAGCUGCAGUGGAAAAUGGGAAGGACAUUGGACAUUUU